AGCAGCCGCGGUAAUUCCAGCUCCAAUAGCGUAUAUUAAAGUUGUUGCAGUUAAAAAGCUCGUAGUUGAAUUUCGGGAUCAAAGGAUCGGUCAUGCCUUGGUAUGUACUGGUUUUAUUGGUUCUCACCUUCUAAAGAACCAUAAUGUCAUUCAUUUGAUGUUAUGGGGAAUUAGGACUGUUACCUUGAAAAAAUUAGAGUGUUUAAAGCAGGCUUACGCUUGAAUACAUUAGCAUGGAAUAAUGAAAUAGGACAUCAGAUUCUAUUUUGUUGGUUUCUAGGAUCGAUGUAAUGAUUAAUAGGGAUAGUUGGGGGCAUUAGUAUUCAAUUGUCAGAGGUGAAAUUCUUGGAUUUAUUGAAGACUAACUACUGCGAAAGCAUUUGCCAAGGAUGUUUUCAUUAAUCAAGAACGAAAGUUAGGGGAUCGAAGACGAUCAGAUACCGUCGUAGUCUUAACCAUAAACUAUGCCGACUAGGGAUCGGAUGAUGUUAAUUUUUAUAAUGACUCAUUUCGGCACCUU
rnacentral:rRNA from 1 species